rnacentral:rRNA from 1 species
GACGAACGCUGGCGGCGUGCUUAACACAUGCAAGUCGAACGGAAAGGCCCUGCUUUUGUGGGGGGCUCGAGUGGCGAACGGGUGAGUAACACGUGAGUAACCUGCCCUUGACUUUGGGAUAACUUCAGGAAACUGGGGCUAAUACCGGAUAGGAGCUCCUGCUGCAUGGUGGGGGUUGGAAAGUUUCGGCGGUUGGGGAUGGACUCGCGGCUUAUCAGCUUGUUGGUGGGGUAGUGGCUUACCAAGGCUUUGACGGGUAGCCGGCCUGAGAGGGUGACCGGCCACAUUGGGACUGAGAUACGGCCCAGACUCCUACGGGAGGCAGCAGUGGGGAAUAUUGCACAAUGGGCGGAAGCCUGAUGCAGCAAAGCCGCGUGCGGGAUGACGGCCUUCGGGUUGUAAACCGCUUUCGCCUGUGACGAAGAGUGAGUGACGGUAAUGGGUAAAGAAGCACCGGCUAACUACGUG